GCGAACAAGCACUGAAAAGAAACAGAGAUGAGUUUUGCAGUUUAAAAAUGGAAGUUUUGUUCCCUAUCAAACUCCUGUGGACAUAUACAUGAAUGUAAUGUGAUGUAAUGUGGUUUGCAUAGCUGCAGAAUAUAUGAAGACUUUGUUCAUUUUUCCUUUGCUGUCCUGAACUGAUGAAGGACAUUUAACAAGUAAUGAAUGAAUUAAUUAAUUUAUUUGAUGAUUAAAAAACACAUAUAACACUGCACUGCAGUCAUUACAUACACUAAAAUCACAGAGGAUGAAAACACAAUAAAGCCAGAAGGCUUAUUUCCAUUGUGGUCCUCUAAUGUAACACUUAACACUCUACAAGAUAAAAGCAAGACAACAACAAGACAGCAAGCGAUGACAAUACAAUCAAUAUAUAAAUAGCAGGCGGCGGGGUAGCUAUGUCAACAGGCUCAUGCUUUCUUGGUCAUAAAAGUUAAAAUUGAAUAUUCUACAUGGUACUUUGUAACCAUUUCUUUAAGGCCACUUUAAAUGUGCUCCGUGAAACACUCAGUUUCAGGUUUGUGGGCAGAUUAUUCCACUGUACUGCUGCACAGCAGAGAAAUGUGUUUUUGCCCAUUAGGCUAUUGAAUCGAAAAGGUAUGAAGUCUGUCGAGCUACCUCUUGUAAAGUAGCUAUGAGUGUCUCUUAGUAGUAGGAAAGGUCUAAGAAUGCAUGUGUUCUCCAAACAAGGAGAAAAGAAAAUAGUCAGGGUUAGAAAGGACCUGAUGGACCCUGUGUGAUCCCAGCAUCUCACACCGCAGUCCUACUAAAAAAAGCUCUGCCCCCUUUUCUGUUUAAAUAUGACCACAGCCUCUAAGCCCUGGAGAGGUGAGAAGAGCAGCUCACUGCAGCUCAUUUGCAACACAAACCAUGUUCCCUGCAUCUCUGCAGACGGCCCUGGCAGCUGCAUCCUGUGAGUUUCUGUUUCUGACCAACUGUGUAAAACCAGAGGAACGCCCCACCCAAAAAUACAUCAUAAUAACAGUAAUUAUUAUUCUGGCUUCUGACUACUGCCGCACAGCCUUGCAAUUUUUAUAUUUUCGGUUGAAAUGUCAUGAAAUUCAUUUUUUUUUUCUGUCUCAAAGUGUCCAUUUCAAAAUUUUGCUAGAUUUCCAACAAUUUUAUAAGAAACAUUCAUUUUUCAGCAAUCAAAUAAAAUUUAUUCUUUCACAUUAUUUUGUGUGGUAUUAAAUAACAUUCUCACACAUCUGCUGGAAUGUUCUGAGAUUUGAACAGCAUCUGGAGAGUUAGAGCAUUUUAAUGACGGGAAAAUAGCUAUCAAUACUUGAUUUAGAUGUGUUGCAUAAGAAUUUUAAAUGCCUAUAUUUUACAAUAUUGCCAAUAUUUGCAGAGGAAAUGAACAUUUUCUGUAAUGAAACAUUCAGUAAGUAAUAUUUGUGGAACAUUCAGACCAACUAAGCGUUUAUAUACACACUGUACAUAUUAUGUAAAUAGCAUUUCCCAUGAGAGGCAGUUAUGUAAAUCUCAUGAGUCCCAUGUUCUUUAAAACACAGAAAUUACAGUACAUACUCAGUGACGAGCAGCACUGUUCACUUCUUGUCUUUCGCUGCUGUAAAUAAAAUAAAAUGGAGGCCUUAGUAUUCAUCAUAGCUUUGCUGUUUGCGUUUAAAUAUGCUCAUUGUGACAUCACACUGACAGAGUCUGCUCCACAGAUGAAGAAGCCUGGAGAUUCUGUGAGGCUCUCCUGCAAAAUUACUGGAUUCUCACUCAGCAGCUACAGUGUGCACUGGGUUCGACAGGCUCCAAAUAAAGGGCUGCAAUGGGUUGGAUACUUCGAUGGUUCUUCUGACGAUCGUUUCAAUGUUACAGAAGAUUCAUCCAACAGCAUUGCUUACUUAGACAUCACCGAUCUCCAGUCCUCAGACACAGCUGUGUAUUACUGUGCCCGAGAGACACAGUGAUAGAGUUUAAGGCCCUGCUGUACAAAAACCCUCCACAGAUGAUUUAGCAGGCAGUGUGUGACUGGCUGUGCUGUGUGGCCUAAAGACAUUAUCUGUUAUUGUUUUUCUCCUGGAUUUGCACCAUAAGGCUUCAUCACACAUUUUUAAACAAAGUUGAAAUGAAUUUAAGAAAAUAACAAAUACAUUUAAUCCAACUUAA